GAUGAACGCUAGCGGGAGGCCUAACACAUGCAAGCCGAGCGGUAUUGUUUCUUCGGAAAUGAGAGAGCGGCGUACGGGUGCGUAACACGUGUGCAACCUGCCUUUAUCUGGGGGAUAGCCUUUCGAAAGGAAGAUUAAUACUCCAUAAUAUAUUGAACGGCAUCGUUUAAUAUUGAACGCUCCGGCGGAUAGAGAUGGGCACGCGCAAGAUUAGCUAGUUGGUGAGGUAACGGCUCACCAAGGCGAUGAUCUUUAGGGGGCCUGAGAGGGUGAUCCCCCACACUGGUACUGAGACACGGACCAGACUCCUACGGGAGGCAGCAGUGAGGAAUAUUGGUCAAUGGGUGCAAGCCUGAACCAGCCAUCCCGUGUGAAGGACGACUGCCCUAUGGGUUGUAAACUUCUUUUGUAUAGGGAUAAACCUACCCUCGAGAGGGUAGCUGAAGGUACUAUACGAAUAAGCACCGGCUAACUCCGUG
rnacentral:rRNA from 1 species